GGUGUGUGGGCUGGUCCCCCGCAGAUCUGAAUGUUCACUGCUCAUGUUUCUGAUUGAAAUUUGUGUGUAUUUGUUAAAGUCUCAAAAGCAGAAGGGGAGGAUCCAGGUUAAAAGAGUGGCCCUUAUUGGAGGCAAGCCAUCCUUAAUGGAAAAAUCCAGAGAGCUGAUGGAAACACACCAAGCAUUGGAAAGCUUCUGUGUCAACCUGACAGAUGUCAGCCCAAGUUCAUUCCUAUCCCCAGGAAGUCACCUGCCCGGUCCUAGUGUCAACCUCACCUCUGUGUAAAUGUUUAUGCCUCUGACGACAUUGCAGGACACUGGGUCACAGGCAGGUGUGCAUCGUCCUCUAAAUUAUUUAGAAUCUAAAAGAAAGGGUAAACAAAUGGUUUGGAACAAGAAUGCAAUCUACCACACAGAAGUGGCAUUGGUUUAGUAAAAUUUAAUAGUGCCAGA